UACGUAGGGGGCAAGCGUUGUUCGGAAUUACUGGGCGUAAAGGGCUCGUAGGCGGCCAACUAAGUCGGACGUGAAAUCCCCAGGCUCAACUUGGGAACUGCGUCCGAUACUGGAUGGCUUGAGUUUGGGAGAGGGAUGCGGAAUUCCAGGUGUAGCGGUGAAAUGCGUAGAUAUCUGGAGGAAUACCGGUGGCGAAGGCGGCAUCCUGGACCGAGAUUGACACUGAUGAGCGAAAGCCAGGGGAGCAAACGGG
rnacentral:rRNA from 1 species